rnacentral:ribozyme from 1 species
AUUUUUUUCAUUCUUUCUUUCUUUCUUUUCUUCCCUCUUUUCUUCUCACACCGAGUUGGACAUGUCACUUAUAUGUUGGAAGAGGCGAGGUGGGGGGCUAGAAUACUGUAUGA